rnacentral:rRNA from 1 species
GGGGGAGCCUAUAUGGCAGUCGAGCGAGCUUGCCUAGAUGAUUUUAGUGCUUGCACUAAAUGAAACUAGAUACAAGCGAGCGGCGGACGGGUGAGUAACACGUGGGUAACCUGCCCAAGAGACUGGGAUAACACCUGGAAACAGAUGCUAAUACCGGAUAACAACACUAGACGCAUGUCUAGAGUUUGAAAGAUGGUUCUGCUAUCACUCUUGGAUGGACCUGCGGUGCAUUAGCUAGUUGGUAAGGUAACGGCUUACCAAGGCAAUGAUGCAUAGCCGAGUUGAGAGACUGAUCGGCCACAUUGGGACUGAGACACGGCCCAAACUCCUACGGGAGGCAGCAGUAGGGAAUCUUCCACAAUGGACGAAAGUCUGAUGGAGCAACGCCGCGUGAGUGAAGAAGGGUUUCGGCUCGUAAAGCUCUGUUGGUAGUGAAGAAAGAUAGAGGUAGUAACUGGCCUUUAUUUGACGGUAAUUACUUAGAAAGUCACGGCUAACUACGUGCCAGCAGCCGCGGUAAUACGUAGGUGGCAAGCGUUGUCCGGAUUUAUUGGGCGUAAAGCGAGUGCAGGCGGUUCAAUAAGUCUGAUGUGAAAGCCUUCGGCUCAACCGGAGAAUUGCAUCAGAAACUGUUGAACUUGAGUGCAGAAGAGGAGAGUGGAACUCCAUGUGUAGCGGUGGAAUGCGUAAAUAUAUGGAAGAACACCAGUGGCGAAGGCGGCUCUCUGGUCUGCAACUGACGCUGAGGCU